rnacentral:lncRNA from 1 species
GUCAGUUUUCAGAUAAUUCGCCUCCUUGUUUUGAAUAUUCAGUUUGUGAAUUUUGACAUCUCAUGCAAAUCACCUUUGCAUCAACAUUUUUAAAAUGCUCUGUUACUGACUGACUGUCACAUCCCUUACUGUCACUCUCUACAGCGGAAUUCAGUGCACGCCCUCUUCAGCAGGAGUCGCUCAAAGUCAUCAGGAAGUGCACCUCAGUCUGCAACCCGCGCAGUAGAGAACUAACUGAGUGGAUGACUUCAGACAUGCCCCCCCCCCCUGCCUACUACACUGGCAGAAAAUCUGCAUUACUGCUGCGAGACUCUCCAACAGUCCUCUUCUAGAACUCGGAGCUUUGAACACUGUACUGAGAGUAAGGGUUCACAGAAGGUUCUGGAUAUUGAACUGAAGUCAUCUGAGUUCAACAGCAAGCACAGUUGAGCUAUCUUCAGACCCAGCUUUCAGACCAAGAGUUUCUGAGGAGCUAAAACGUUUGAAGAAGUCAUUUUGUUUUCUUUCUUCAAAUAUAAUGCAUCUCAUUAUUAAUAUUUUUGGAGAAAAUUCUCUUCUUCUCUUCUAUGAUGACCUUUUCAGUAAACAACCAUGAGGCUUUGUUUCCACGAUUACCCAGAGAGAACACAAACCACAGGAGCACCAACACAUUAAUAAGAAAAGUUGUGGAACUAGAGUUUUGCUUGGCUUCCUCUUGUGUUGCAAUGAUAAAAUACCCAACAAAAGCAGCUUAAGGGACAUAAGUCUCGUUUGGCUUACAAGUCCAAGUUCAAGUCUAUCACUGGAGAGAACUCAAGGAAUCAAGGAGCUACAUUACAUUUGCAUUGAGAGUAGAAGGCAAUAAUGUAAUGCAUCCAUAAUAAAUCUCAAUUUAUGUUCCCACUCCUAGAUAAGGUAUCUAAAAGGAAAUUAGAAAUAAAUCAGUUAUCUAUGUAUAAGAAUGGGAACUCUUGAGCAGCUCUCUGCUCCCAGACCCGGUGAGAGAGAGACCCAACCGCCUGGUCAGGUGGGCACUCCUGAGGCUGCAGAGCGGAAGAGACCACCAACACUGCUCACCCCUGCCCACAUCCCUGGCCCAAGAGGAAACUGUAUAAGGCCUCUGGGCUCCCGUGGGGGAGGGCCCAGGAGCGG